UUAAGUUAAUAAGGGUAUAUGGUGGAUGUUUUGGCGCUAAGAAGCGAAGAAGGACGCAGCAGGCUGCGAAAAACCUCGGGGAGUUGCCAACAUGCGGAGAUCCGGGGGUAUCCGAAUGGGGAAACCUACUAGAACGAAGAUCUAGUAUUCAUGCCUGAAUAAAAUAGGGUAUGAAAGCAAACGGUGAGAAUUGAAACAUCUUAGUAGCACCAGGAAAAGAAAGAAAAUCUCGAUUGCCUCAGUAGCGGCGAGCGAAAGGGUAAGAGCCUAAACCAACUGCAUGUAAGGCCAGGCCCGUUGUGUAGUUGGGGUAGAGGGAGUUAUCGUGCUGUGCGCAGGGGUACAGCAGGAAGUCAAAAAAGUUGUAGCUAGCAGAACGCUAAUGGAAAGUAGCGACCAAAGAAGGUGAAAGUCCUGUAAGCGAAAGAUACAACCCUUCCAGAUAACCACCCAAGUAACGCUGGACACGUGAAACCCGGCGUGAAUCAGGGAGGCCCACCUCCUAAGGCUAAAAAUUACUUAGCGACCGAUAGCGUACCAAGUAGUGCGAAUGAAAAAUGAAAAGAACCCCGUUGAGGGGAGUGAAAUAGUACCUGAAACCAUAUACUUACAAAGCGGUAGGAGCGUUAUGGCUUGCCUGAAUGUGUAGCAUGACAGGUGUUAUAUACGAGUAUAUAACUUCUGCAGCAAGCAAAGCGUGACUACGUGCCUUUUGCAUAAUGAUCCGGCGAGUUACUGUAUGCAGCAAGGUUAAGUGAUUAAGUCACGAAGCCAAAGCGAAAGCGAGUGUUAAAAGCGCAAAAGAGUUGCAUGUAGUAGACCCGAAAGCCAGUGAUCUAACCAUGGCCAGGGUGAAGUGAAUAUAAAAAUUCAUGGAGGCCCGAAUGCACUAAUGUUGAAAAGUUAGGCAAUGAGUUGUGGUUAGGAGUCAAAGGCUAAUCAAACUGGCCAAUAUCUGGUUCUCCCCGAAAUGGCUUUCUGGCCAGCCUUAUGAAUAGUAUACGGGGGUAGAGCGACUGAAUGGAUUUAGGGGGCCACAAGCCUACCUUAUUCAACCAAACUCCGAAUACCGUAUAUAUGAUCAUGGGAGUUAGACAGCGGGGGAUAAGCUCCGUUGUCAAAAGGGAAACAGCCCAGACUGCCAGCUAAGGUCCCAAAUACAGACUAAGUGAGAAAGGAAGUGAGUGUGCAAAGACAGCCAGGAUGUUGGCUUAGAAGCAGCCAUCAUUUAAAAAGUGCGUAAUAGCUUACUGGUCGAGCAUACUCGCGCCAAAAAUUCAAGGGACUAAAGUCUGUAACCGAAGCUGCGGAUGUGGUUAAAACCACGGUUUUAAGCACGUGGUAGGGGAGCGUUCCAUAAAGGGUGAAGGGUGACUGAGAAGACACCUGGACGAGAUGGAAGUGACUAUGCCGGAAUGAGUAGCGAUAAAAUAAGUGAGAAUCUUAUUCGCCGUAAGCCUAAGGUUUCCUGGGGAAGGUAAUUCCGCCCAGGGUUAGUCGGUACCUAAGGUGAGGCCGAAAGGCGUAAUCGAUGGAUAACAGGUUAAUAUUCCUGUACUACUUACAAACGAAGGGAGCAAUCCUGAGAGUGUAAGGGGAGACGGAGAAGGCUAAAUCAACCCCGUGAAUGGACGAGCGGGGCCAGGCCCGUAGGAUGACAUGCCAGGCAAAUCCAGCGUGUCGCUAAUCUGAGGGGAGUGGGGAGCGCAAGCGAAGUGGUUGAUGCCAAGCUUCCAAGAAAAGCCUCGAACACGAGUAAAGUAAGUAACCGUACUAAAACUGACACAGGUAGGCGAGGAGAAUAUCCUAAGGCGCGCGAGAGAACCCUCGUUAAGGAACUCGGCAAAUUAACCCCGUAACUUCGGGAGAAGGGGUGCCCUUAUGGGUGAAGUUCCUAGCGAUUUGAGCCCAUGAGGGCCGCAGAGAAAUGGUCCAGGCGACUGUUUACUAAAAACACAGGACUCUGCCAAGGCGUAAAGCCGAUGUAUAGAGUCUGACGUCUGCUCGGUGCUGGAAGGUUAAGGGAAUAGGUCAGUGGCGCAAGCCGCGAAGCUUUGAACCGAAGCCCCAGUUAACGGCGGCCGUAACUAUGACGGUCCUAAGGUAGCGAAGUUCCUUGUCGGGUAAGUUCCGAC
rnacentral:rRNA from 1 species